rnacentral:rRNA from 1 species
UGUAGUAGCGAAGGUCAUGAUCUCAGACUGCCAAGAAAAGCCUCUAGCCAGGAGAAGGUGCCCGUACCGCAAACCGACACAGGUAGGCGAGAAGAGAAUUCUAAGGCGCGCGGAAGAACUCUCGUUAAGGAACUCGGCAAAAUGACCCCGUAACUUCGGGAGAAGGGGUGCCUCGGUAGGGUGAAUAGCCCGAGGGGGCCGCAGUGAAAAGGCCCAAGCGACUGUUUAGCAAAAACACAGGUCUGUGCGAAGCCGCAAGGCGAAGUAUACGGGCUGACGCCUGCCCGGUGCUGGAAGGUUAAGGGGAGUGGUAAGCUCUUCGGAGCGAAGCUAUGAACCGAAGCCCCAGUAAACGGCGGCCGUAACUAUAACGGUCCUAAGGUAGCGAAAUUCCUUGUCAGGUAAAUUCUGACCCGCACGAAUGGCGUAACGACUUGGGCGCUGUCUCAACGAGAGAUCCGGUGAAAUUUUAAUACCUGUGAAGAUGCAGGUUACCCGCGACAAGACGGAAAGACCCCAUGGAGCUUUACUGCAGCUUGAUAUUGAAUUUGGGUACGAUCUGUACAGGAUAGGUGGGAGCCGUAGAA